UGUUUUCUGCUGCGCUCCUCACCUAUAAAUAGCCCUAUUGUGAGUUGAGAUGCAUUCUUUUGACAGAAGGGGGCGGCCAGACCUAAUUUCACUCUCUAGAGAGGAUCUCUUGGAUGCUUAGGCUCCUUUUCAUCUUUUCUAGGGUUUACUCUUCCAUCUUUCAUCCAUUUUUCAUCUACAUUCACCAUGUCAAUGGUGAACUAAACCCUAUUGUUGUUGGGGGAAACAUUGUAAUCUUUUUAUACUCUCUUUUAUUGAAACUCUUGAUUAUUUAUAUGGUUUCCAUAUGUUUUGAUUGUUAAUUGUUGGGUUCUCAUAUGUGCUUAAUGCCUUUAUCGUUUAACUCAUUCGAUAACUGAUGUUUGUCUUUAGUGAUACAGAGACGUACAGUAAUGUCAUGAACUGGUGAGUAAUUCCUUGAUUUUGUAAUACCACAUAGGGAUAGGGGUAGGACGAUCAAUUGCGUUUAACUUUUUCUCUAUAAUGCUGUAUUAAUUGCUAGGGGAGGCUAGGGAUAGCAAGCCAGUAGUUAGUGUUAGGCUCUUUUCGCCGGGGGAUCGGGUUAAGGGUAGGCUAAGAAAGUUGCAUGACAAUUAAUUAAUCAAGCUAAUAAUUCAAGAGGAGUAAAUAAGAGAGAGCAGAUUAGAUGAAAUUGUAAACCCCCAACAACUCCAUUCAUCCAUUGUUUUCUUCUUGUCAUUUGAAUCAAUCUCUUUUGCAUGUUCAUAUUUUAUUCUCUUACUCAAUUUAUUAAUUUUUAUUUUCAAGUCUUAUUAUUUUAAUUCACGCGAACGAUAAGGCCUUUCGAGUCUCUUGGGAAAGUGAUACUUGGUCUUACCAUUUUUAUUACUUGAACGAGUUGGUACGCUUGCCAAUCCGUUAACAGUUACAUGAAAGUUAAGGCCUAAGAGUCCUUUGGGAAAACAAUACUCGGACUUACCCGUUUAUAUUACUUGAUAACGAUCUGGUACACUUGCCAGGGACCUAACAAGUUUUUUGCGCCGUUGUCGGGGACUCAUGGUUUAACUUAUCCAGUAGUGUAACUGAUUAAGUUUGACUUUAUUUUAUAUAUCUUUUAUUUUAUCUUUUUAUUUUUUUAAUAUAUAAAAAAAAAAGUGCAACUAGGGUUUUGUGCCUAAUGUCUGCAGGAUGCAGUAUGGACAAGAAUUUGAUUAUAUGGGCACUCAAUUCUACCAAAAUGAUUUCAACUACUGGUGGGAACCUCACUCAUACAUGGAUCAAAGCCAAUUUGAGCAAGUUGUUGAGCCACGAUUUAAUCCGAUUAAGAGGACUGCAGAAUCUGAGGAACUUUUUCAGAGGGUCAUAAAUUCAGAAGUAUACCAUGUCAAAGGCAUAGAGGAGAAUACAAAGAAUGACGAAUUUUUUCCGCACGACAUGUAUACAAGAUUUUCUUCUCAUAGAAGCAUGAAAGAGAUGCAACAAUAUCACUGACAGCAACAAUUCUUUUCACCAAUAGUAACGUGGGAAGAAGAGCAAAACCUAAGCCAAAAGAUAGCCGAUUUGGUAGAACAACUCAAAAGCUCUAAAGAAAAUUUUGACAAAUUUCUGGAGAAGUACAAUUCCAAGAGCUAUGAAGUUAAAUUCAGGAAUUUGGAGACAUCAAUUGAUGAGGUUGUUGAUGGGGAGAAGAUAGAGAGAGAGGUGAAAAAGAUAAAAGAGAUAGAAACAGAAAAGGUUGUUGCUAAGGAGAAGAUAGAGGAAAAAGAGAUAGAGAUAAAUGAGGAAAAGAUAGAGAUAUAUGAAGAGAAGAUCGAGGAGAAAAGCAUGGAGAGAAAGGAGGAGAAGAUAGAGGAAGAAAAGAUAGAGAUAACUGAGGAGAAGAUAGAGGAGAAAAAGGUGGAGAGAAAUAAGGAAAAGAUAGAGAUAUAUGAGGACAAAAUAAAGGAGAAAAACAUGGAGAAAAAGGAGGAGAAGAUAGAGGAAUAAAAGAUAGAGAUAAAUGAGGAGAAGAUAGAGGAGAAAAAAGUGGAGAAAAAUAAGGAAAAGAUAGAGGAGGAAAAGAUUGAGGAAGAAGAAACAGAAAAGUUGAGUGAAGGGAAUAAGGAUGAUGAUAAGAAAAAAACAGUGGUUGAGAGAAAAGAAAAAAAGAAAAAAUAUGCAAAAACAAAGAAGAAAAUAAAAAAGAGAAAGGUGAGUGAGGAGAAAAGUGAGAACAAGAGGAAGAGGGGAAAGAAGAAAAGAUCAUAUGCAAAACCUCUUCCUCAUCAAAAGAAAUAUCAUAGGAAGGAAAAUAUGUUUAAGUGCUUUAUGGAAAUCUUCAAGAGAUUGAAGAUUAAAAUUCCUUUGAUUGAGACAUGGAAACAGAUGCUUGGUGUUUUCAACUUUUUGAAAAAAUUCAACAAGAAGAAAAAGAAAAGAAUAUCAAGAAAGGGGAGUAUCUUUCUGUUUUUAUUUUUCUGUUUUUCUGUUUUUGUUUUUCUGUUCUUAAAUUCUUAUUUAUUUCAAGAAAAAACAAAAAUUAAAAUAAAAAAUAUAUAUAUCUUUUACUGUUUUUAUUUUUGGGCUAAUUCUGUGUUCUAGUGCAGUGUUCUUUAGCACGUGCAGGAUAAAAUUUGUACUAGGAGAACAAGAUCAUCAGGAGGCGGAUAAGGAAGGAGAAUUGGUUCACCAACACCCUGAUGUGAAAAGUGACAAACCCUAAACUGACACACCAAGUGAAAUUCAAGAAUAGGUUAUGGGUUAUCAAGACUAUUAAAGCAGACAGAGCUUUUAAAGUUGGUGAUAAGAAGAAUAUCAACACCUACUGAUGGGUGUUGGAAAGAUUUGCACUUACUAACAAGUGCUAGAAAGGUUGGGGUCAGGCUCAUGACGUUAAACAAGCGCUACCUGGGAGGCAACCUAGUUGAUUAUAUUUGUUUUUAACUCUGUUUUUGUGCAUUAUAUGUUUGAAUGUUGCAUUUGAGAAGGGAAAGGUGCAUAAUUUAAAAUUUGACAGUUGAAAUCCAGUGCUACAAGGUUGAAAACGUGGAGGCAAACAAAGAAGGAAGAAAGUUUUAACGCUUACCGCUGAGCGGUGGUGACGCAUACCUGGCUCGGGUUUGUUAAAAGCUGAGCGUUUUUAGGUGUUUACACUUUGAAACAUCUUCUUUGCAGUUCGCCCAAGCGGUCUCCAUAAGCCUUAUCACUCCUCUUUCACUUUCAAGAGCUUUUCAAAGAGAUUUCAUCACUUUUCCCAUCACCCACUCACAAAAAUAUCAUUAUUCUAUCAUUAUCUUGUACUUAUCUGUGGUGGACACUGCAGUUCCACCUUAUGAGAGGCCAAGGAGAGCUAUUGAUGUCUCCUAUUAUCGUCAGUACUGUGGAGGAGAUGAGCCAGCCGGAGCGGUUCCUAGGAGACGUCUUAGGAGAGCAACAGCACAACAGGAGGACAUACCUGUAGAUGCACCGGCGCAACAGCCUGAGCCUUUCUAGAUGAGGGACAUGUAUAUGUCCAUGACGGUGGCGAGGAUGGAGUCUCUCCGCAAAGGGCAGGUGGCCACUGCUGAGAUGAUUAUAGGUCUUGAUGAUCAGCCACCAGUGCACAGGUGGACCUUGGAUGAGUUCCAUAGUGCGAUGGCUUGGCCUCAAGAGGAUGCACAGGGCAGUGGGUCUGGAGCAGCUGGAACAUCAGACAGAGAUGAAGAUGAUGAUGAUUUUGAGGACGCCCAGGAGGGGGAUGAGUAUGACUCAAAUGAUGACUUGCACUGAGGACAUUCAGUUAUGGAUGCCAACACUUGAACAGGGAAUUUUCUUUUUCUUUUGCACUUCGAAUUAGUAGUAUAGGUUAAGUUUUAUGUUUGUGUCUAUGCUUGGCUUGUACACUAAUUCUGAUAAUGGUUUAAAUUUUAUUGCAUGAUGAGUCAUUUACUAUUGAUGAUUGAUCGUGGAUGAUGAUUGAGAAUGUGUGAAUGCUGAUAUUCAGGUUAAUGUUUCACUAACUAUGUGAACAGAUGAGUAAGUGGUUUAUGAUUGUGAUUUUGAUGCUAAGCAGGAUUCAUGAAUGAGAAGUGAGUCAGCAAGAUUGUGUGAGGUAUUGAGCUUCAGAGUUUUAUUGAUGUGUGCACUGUUCACAAAGAAUCAUGAAUGAUAUUGACUUAAUCUUGAUAAUUGAUUGAAUUGCAUGUGUAUGUCAUAUGAUCAAGGCCAUGUUUAGAAAGCUCUUACUUAGCCAAAUUUUCACCCAAAGGAUUUUAAAUGAUAUACCCUUUUUGAACCUUGACCUUAAACAAUAUGAAAACCCAUAUUUGAAUUGAUUUACCUUGAGUUAGGGUUGAGAAUAAUUAUAUGUGAUUAAAAGGUUCAAGUUUGGGGUUGAAUGGGGAAGAUGAAAGGCAAAAGAAAAGAAAAGCAUUGAGUUCCAAAGAAUGAAAAUGAAAAAUGCAUGUGAAAGGAAAAGGAAAGAAGAAAAGAGAAAAAACAUGUAAAGAAGAACUCAAUGUAAAAUGAAAAGGGAAAGAGUUGGGAAUGAGUGAGAUUGGUUAAAAAGAGAGUGUAAUUGAACUGUUAAAUAAUGAUUUAAACUCUCUUAACUCAAGGAUUUUGUAUUCCAGAAAGACCAAUUUUUCUUGAUAACUUAGCCACAUUACAAGCCUUGGAAAAAGUCCUUGUGAUGGCAUUUGCAUGUGAGGAUUUUGAUUGUUUUAGAUGAAUGGCAAUAUUGUUUUAUGUGACAUGUGAACAGUAGAGAGUAGAGUGACCUCCUAAACACUUGAGUGAUUGAAUGAAACACUUGCUUGGUGAGAAUUCUUAAAUCCAUUUAUUUUCAUACUUAAAUUUGAUAUUAAAACACACCCUUUAUGGCUUAGAAUUAGCUUGAAAUCAUGCAUUCUUAUUAAGUUAGAGAAUACGAGAGUCAAAGAUGGUUUUCUUGGUUUUAUGCUUGGUUUCCCUUGAUUUUAUAGGUUUUUCGAAUGAAUUGGAAGAAAGGUUGAAGUAUCAAAUGGUUUGAGUGUUGAAAAGUCAAUCAGUCAACCAGAAAAGUCAAUCAAUCAACCAGAAAAGUUGACCAGUCAACCAGAAAAGUUGUCCAAACCGCUGAGCGGUGAAAAUGGGCGCUGAGCGGUCAGUUUUUGGCGUUGAGCGGCAGUUUUGGGCACUGAGCGGUCCUGCGAUUAAGGGGAAACCGCUGAGCGGUGAAAUUGGGGCCCGAGUGGUUGUCAGUUUUUAUGUUGUGGAUUCUGUAAUCUUUCUGUUAUCUUUUUGGCUUAUAAAUAGCCCCAGUGCGAAUUAGAAAGGGAUUCUUUUGGUAGAAAGAACGUCCAAAGUCAUUCCACACACCUUGGAGGAGAUUUCUUGGAUGCUUAGGCUCCUUCUUAUCAAAUCUAGGGUUUGCUUUUUCCAUUCUUUCAUUAUUUUCAUCUAGUUUCACCAUGUCAAUAGUGAACUAAACCCUUUGUUGUUGGAGAACAAUGUAAUCUUUUGAAACUCUCAAUAUAUUGAAAUUCUUAUUUAUUUCAUAUGCUUGUCAUAUACUUGCUUAUCAAUUGUUUAACUCAUUCAAUAAAUAUUGUUUGUCUUUACCGAUAUGGGGACGUACGGUAAUGUCAUGAACUGGUGAGAAAUUCCUUGAUCAUGUGCUAUUGCCUAGGGAUAGGGAUAGGACGUUCAAUUGUAUUUGCUUCAGCUCGCAUUGCAUUAUUAGUUACUAGGGGAGGCUAGGGAUAACAAGCCGGUAAUUAGUAAUAGGCUCUUUUCACAAAGGAAUUGGGCUAAGGGUAAUUCAGAAAGUUUGCAUGACAAUUAGAUAAACAAGUGAAUUAAAUAAGAAGAGUAGAUAUAUGAGAGUGGAUAAGAUGAAAUUGUAAACCCCAACAACACCAUUCAUCCAUAGUUCUCAAAACCAAUUGAGUCAAUUGCAUUGCAUAUUUAUUUUUGUUCUUUCCAUACAACCACCAAUAUUAUUCUUUUCUCAAGUUUUACAAGAUUAGGUUACAUGAAAGUUAAGGCCUAAGAGUCCUUUGGGAAAACGAUACUCGGACUUACCCUUUAUAUUACUUGAUAACGAUCUGGUACACUUGCCAGGGACCUAACAGAGGGUUUACAAUUUUAUCAAUUUCGCUCCCUCUUACCUACUCCUCUUGUUUAAUGUGCUUGAUUAACUAAUUAUCAUGCAAACUUUCUUAGCCUACCCUUAACCCGAUCCCUCGGUGAAAAGAGCCUAUUAUUAAUUACUGGCUUGCUAUCGCUAGCCUCCCCUAACAAUUAAUAACGCUUUAAGAACAGAAGCAAAACAAUUGAUUGUCCUACCCCCUAUCCCUAGUUGAGUACGGCUUAACCAAGGAAUUUCUCACCAGUUAAUGACAGUAUUGUACGUUGAUGAAGGUUGAAAAACAGUUAUUUUCAUAUGUCAUUUUAGACCAAAUUACUCCCUUUACUACUUAGAAUGAGCUUAGAAUCAAGCAAAACUCAAUAAAUGAGUCUGUAGAGAGUAAAAAGCUGUUUUUAGUGAUAUUAUGCUUGUUUUGCAUUGUUUUGCAGCUAUUUUGAGAAAGUGAAGAAUGAAGUUGAAGAUAAAGGUCGUAGACUCAAGAAAAGAGAAGAAAAUUGAAGAAUUGAAGAGUCGACGCACUACCCGGCGGCAAAUUCCACCGUUGGGCGGUCCAGGACGACGAGUAGGCACCUAGCGUUGGCGUUGGGCGGAUUUGUGAUUAGAGGCAAACCGCCGGGCGGUAGACCCCUACCGUCGGGCGAUAGUGCGAUUUGUGGGAAACCGCCGGGCGCCACACUUGUUCCGCCGGGCGGUUGCCUACUGGGCUUGGGCCUGUUUUCUGUUGCGCUCCUCACCUACAAAUAGCCCUAUUGCGAGUUUAGAUGCAUUUUUUUUGACAUAUGGGGGCGGCCAGACCUAAUUUCACUCUCUGGAGAGGAUCUCUUGGAUGCUUAGGCUCCUUUUCAUCUUUUCUAGGGUUUGCUUUUACAUUCUUCAUCCAUUUUUCAUCUAGUUUCACCAUGAAAAUGGUGAACUAAACCCUAUUGUUGUUGGGGGAAACAAUGUAAUCUUUUGAUACUCUCUUUU
rnacentral:lncRNA from 1 species